GAUCAGAUACCGCCCUAGUUCUGACCGUAAACGAUGCCAACUAGCGAUCCGCCAGUCGACUCAUCGCUCUGGUAGGGGGCUUCCCGGAAACGAAAGUCUUCCGGUUCCGGGGGAAGUAUGGUUGCAAAGCUGAAACUUAAAGGAAUUGACGGAAGGGCACCACCAGGAGUGGAGCCUGCGGCUUAAUUUGACUCAACACGGGGAAACUCACCCGGCCCGGACACCAUAAGGAUUGACAGAUUGAUAGCUUUUUCAUGAUUCGGUGGAUGGUGGUGCAUGGCCGUUCUUAGUUCGUGGAGCGAUUUGUCUGGUUUAUUCCGAUAACGAGCGAGACUCUGGCCUACUAAAUAGUUGACGCAUUGCCACUGUGCGCACAACUUCUUAGAGGGAUUUUCGGUGUUUUCAACCGCACGAAAUUGAGCAAUAACAGGUCUGUGAUGCCCUUAGAUGUCCGGGGCUGCACGCGCGCUACACUGGCAAACGCAACGUGCCUGUCCUGCCCCGAAAGGAGCGGGUAAACCCCUGAAAUUUUGCCGUGAUUGGGAUCGGACAUUGCAACUAUUGUCCGUGAACGAGGAAUUCCUUGUAGGGGCGAGUCAUCAACUCGUCCCGAAUACGUCCCUGCCCUUGUA
rnacentral:rRNA from 1 species